GGGGGCUCCCAGCUGGACAGGGGGGCACCACAGGGGAUGGGACCCCGGGCAUCUCUCCCAGCUGGGCUCCAUCCCACUGGGGCUGGUUUCCAGGCUGGGAAUGGGGACGUGCAGCAGGUCCUGAUUGUGGCCUGGUGGCUGCUUUGUCUGGGACUCAGCACUGGGAGCCUGUGGUGGUGCAGCACAGCCCAGGGGACACUCACCUGUCCCCUCCCAAACUCACCUGUCCCUUCCCUCCCCAGCAAUGCGGGGUCAUCUCCGAACACACCAAGAAGAUGUGCACCAGGUAAGGGCAGCCUGGCCUGGCCCUGCUCACUCUGGGGGGCUUCCCUAGGGUCCCCAACGUGCUCAGAUCCCAUGGGAGGGGGGAAGGCCCAGCUCAGCGCUGUGUCUCACCCCCAGGUCCCUGCGGUGUCCCCAGCACACGGAUGAGCAGCGCAGGGCAGUCCGGGUUUACCUCCUCGGGCCCUCCGCGUAAGUGGCCGCACAUCGGGGUCCCCAAGCUCCUGGGGUCACUGUGGAAAGGGACUGGGGGGGCUGCACGGGGUGCUCAGGUGGGGCUGGGAACAGGGACAGCCCUGAGGAGGCCUGCAGGGGAUGGGAAGCCAGGGCUGGGCUUGGGAUUUACAGCCCAGCAGGGUGGUGAGGGCUGGGCUGAGGCCCUGGGUGUCCCCCUGGCGUUUGGGGGGGCUCUGUCCCCUCCUGCCCUGUGUAACACCUGUGCCCAGGUCCCUGCCCGAGGCCGAGGGCGGCGUGGAGAACGACAGCUUCGAGGUGGCCGAGAGCCAGGCCCUGAUGAGCCGCCUGCAGUGGGACGGCUCCUCCGACAUCUCCCCCUCCGACUCAGCCUCCUCCAAAGCCAGUACAAACAACUCCGAGUCCCGCAAGACCAAGAAGAAGAAGCCUCACCUGGGGCUGGUGAGCGGCGCCCCAGGGCUGAGCACCAGCAAGAAGAAGAAGCCCAAGCCCCCCGCCCCCCAGGCCCCCAGCAUCUACGACGACAUCAACAACUGAAAGAAGCCUCACCGGGGGCUGGUGAGCGGCGCCCCAGGGCUCGGCUCCAGCAAGAAGAAGAAGCCCAAGCCCCCCGCCCCCCACACCCCCAGCAUCUACGACGACAUCAACAACUGAGCCCCGCCGAGCUGGGGAGGGGCAGGACGGACAGAGGGACGGACAGGGGCCAGGACAGCCCCCAGACACAACGUGGGUACCGGGGCACAGAGGACUCAGCUGGAGUGGGGCUGGAUUUGGGGAGCCCCCGUUAGUGCCCCCCUUCCUCCCCCCUGCCCCGGUGCCUCUAUUUAUUCUGUGACAGUUUUUGUACCUGGGGCUCAUGUCGGGGGUCACCCUCAGACAUGGGGGUACAGCCCCCCCUUCCCUCCCUCCCAGCACCCCCAAAGCCAGCUGUGCCCCCCCCACACCCACUCCUCACUCACCCCAGUGGGGUGGGGGGCACCUGGACACCCUGGGCAGGUCCAGGCCUGGGUCAGGGGGUUGUGAAUCCCCCCCGCCCUGGGCUGGCACUCGCCGGUCGGGCUGGCUCAGGAGAGGGGGUCACACUGGAGGGGGCAUUUCCCACCCAGAGGACAAGGGAGGACCCUCUCACCCCCAGAUCUGUUCAGCUGUGCCUGCAUUCGGCUGUUGGGGGUCUCGAGGGCCUGGCAGUGCCCACACAGGGGGUCACAGGGGGCUGCAUGCUGCAUCCUUCAUGUUUGGGGCUGUUCGGGAGUGGGUCUGGGGGUGGGGGGAGCUGCUGCGACCAUCCCUGUGCCAAACUGUUUGGGGAGGGGGGACCCCAGCCUGGCAGGGACGUCCGGGGUGGAGCUGGGAAUGGAGCAGAACUGGGGGGGAAGCCCAGCCCAGCUUCAGUGCAGAGCCCCCCACUCCUGGUGUCCCCAGGGCAGCUCUGCUUGACCUCCACGCG
rnacentral:lncRNA from 1 species